CGUAACAAGGUCUCCGUAGGUGAACCUGCGGAGGGAUCAUUACACAAAGAAUAUGAAGGCGUGGGCGCGCGCUGGCAACAGCCGUGCUCUGCUGGAUUAUUUUUCACCCAUGUCUUUUGCGCACUUUUUGUUUCCUGGGCGAGUUCGCUCGCCACCAGGACCCAACCAUAAACCUUUUUUUAUGCAGUUGCAAUCAGCGUCAGUAUAAUCAUAAUGUAUUAAAACUUUCAACAACGGAUCUCUUGGUUCUGGCAUCGAUGAAGAACGCAGCGAAAUGCGAUACGUAGUGUGAAUUGCAGAAUUCAGUGAAUCAUCGAAUCUUUGAACGCACAUUGCGCCCUUUGGUAUUCCAAAGGGCAUGCCUGUUCGAGCGUCAUUUGUACCCUCAAGCUUUGCUUGGUGUUGGGCGUUUUUUGUCUCUCCUUGCGGGAGACUCGCCUUAAAACGAUUGGCAGCCGGCCUACUGGUUUCGGAGCGCAGCACAAAUUUGCGCUUGCAAUCAGCCAAGGGCGGUAUCCAUCAAGCCUUUUUUUAUCCACAUUUUGACCUCGGAUCAGGUAGGGAUACCCGCUGAACUUAAGCAUAUCA
rnacentral:sRNA from 1 species